AGAGGCUCAAGUUGACAAACACCGGCAAAAAACGUGGCCUAUAAAGUAUUACACUAAAGCUAAACUUCUUCAAGGCUGUUAUACGCAUUCGAAGAAAAGAGAAUCUUCCACGAAAGUGGCUUUAAAUAAUAUCACCCACGAAAGCUAGGAAACAAACUGGGAUUAGAUACCCCACUAUGCCUAGCCCUAAACACAAGUGAAUGUCCUCACCUUUGCUUGCCAGGGUAUUACGAGCUCCAGCUUAAAAUUCAAGGGACUUGGCGGUGCUUUAGAUCCACCUAGAGGAGCCUGUUCUGUAACCGAUAACCCCCGCUUAACCUCACCCUCUUUUGUCACUCCCGCCUAUAUACCGCCGUCGUCAGCUUACCCCACAAGGGAUCAAUAGUGAGCUUAACUGGCACAGCCCAGAACGCCAGGUCCAGGUGUAGCGUAUGAGAGGGGAAGAAAUGGGCUACAUUCACUGUACCAGUGAAAACGAAUAAUACUUUGAAACAAGUACUUAAAGGAGGAUUUAGCAGUAAGAAAGGAGCAGAGUGCCAUUCUGAAACUGGCCCUGAAGCGCGCACAUACCGCCCGUCACUCUCUCCAGUUGGAUGGUGUCUAAUUUAAGAUAAACACAAAACUUUAAACAAAGGAGAGGAAAGUCGUAACAUGGUAAGUGUACCGGAAGGUGCACUUGGAAAAAUC
rnacentral:rRNA from 1 species